ACGGGAGGCAGCAGUCGGGAAUAUUGCACAAUGGAGGAAACUCUGAUGCAGUGACGCCGCGUAUAGGAAGAAGGUCUUCGGAUUGUAAACUAUUGUCAUAAGGGAGAAUAAAAGAUAGUACCUUAAGAGGAAGCUCCGGCUAACUACGUGCCAGCAGCCGCGGUAAUACGUAGGGAGCAAGCGUUAUCCGGAUUUAUUGGGUGUAAAGGGUGCGUAGAUGGGAAGUUAAGUUAGUAGUGAAAUCCCCAUGCUCAACAUGGGAACUGCUACUAAAACUGAUUUUCUUGAGUGCUGGAGAGGAAAGAGGAAUUCCUAGUGUAGCGGUAAAAUGCGUAGAUAUUAGGAAGAAUACCGGUGGCGAAGGCGUCUUUCUGGACAGUAACUGACAUUGAGGCACGAAAGUGUGGGGAGCAAACAGGAUUAGAUACCCUGGUA
rnacentral:rRNA from 1 species